UGGAAGAAGGGGCAGAAUAGUAUCAAAAAUGCUUCACUCCCAGGAAUGUGGUGAGCAUAAAAUUAAAUAAUGAAAAAGUCAACUAUAAAGCACUAAAUAAAUAUAAGAUGGUGAAUCUGACAGAGGAAGAAUUAAAUGACUUGUUCAAGGUCACCUUUGAGGAAUUUGCAGGAAGUUUAACUUAUGUAUAUUUUUCCCCUGUAGUACCCCAGAUGGAGUCUCACUCUGUCGCCCAGGCUGGAGUGCAGUGGCACCAUCUCGGCUCACUGCAACUUCCGCCUCCCAGGUUCAAGAGAUCCUCCUGCCUCAGCCCCACUAGUAGCUGGGAUUACAGGGAAAUCUAUUAUGGGAUGGCCUGGAUAUAUCACUUUAAAAAUCCUGCUUUUAAUGAACAAAUGAGAAAAGAGAUGAGGUUUCACCAUGCUGCCCAAGCUGGUCUCCAACUUCUGGGCUCAAGCGGUCUGCCCUCCUUGGCCUCCCAAAGUGCUGGGAUUACAGACCAAGAAAUUGAGCUACAGUGAGGUCACACAGCCGAGAAUCACACAGUGAAGAGUUGGGAUUUGAGCCUGGAAUACUCUGACCUCAGAGUCUGGAUGCUAGUCUCUUGCUGCCUCCCCUGUGUUAUGAGGUCAUGUCUAAAUCACCUCCGUUACUGAAAAUGCUUGUGAAAGACCUAUUCUGCUGGAUAGAGCAGUCACCUUAGUCAAAUAUGAUCCAAAUGUUGCCAUUAGGUCCUACCCAACCCCAUCAAAGAUCAGAACCUGGAGGUGUGGUAACUCCCUCCAGUCCAG
rnacentral:lncRNA from 10 species